UAGCCCCUGCAGUGCACGUGAUUGUAUGAUGUGCUUUGAUCCAAUACUUUUCAUAAGGGAGCCAUCACUGGUUUUGGUGAGCAUGUUCUGCUUGUACAGAAAAGCCUAAAGAGACUACAAGGCGCCCACUUUUUGUGUUUCGGUUCAAAGAAUGGUCAACACGGCAUAUGGCGGGGGUUUA
rnacentral:other from 1 species